rnacentral:misc_RNA from 1 species
CCCAAACCCACUGUGAACCUUACCUCAGUUGCCUCGGCGGGAACGCCCCGGCCGCCGGCCCCCGCGCCGGCGCCGGACCCAGGCGCCCGCCGCAGGGACCCCAAACUCUCUUGCAUUACGCCCAGCGGGCGGAAUUUCUUCUCUGAGUUGCACAAGCAAAAACAAAUGAAUCAAAACUUUCAACAACGGAUCUCUUGGUUCUGGCAUCGAUGAAGAACGCAGCGAAAUGCGAUAAGUAAUGUGAAUUGCAGAAUUCAGUGAAUCAUCGAAUCUUUGAACGCACAUUGCGCCCGCCAGCAUUCUGGCGGGCAUGCCUGUUCGAGCGUCAUUUCAACCCUCGAGCCCCCCCGGGGGCCUCGGUGUUGGGGG